rnacentral:rRNA from 1 species
GACGAACCGUGCGAACGUUGUUCGGAAUCACUGGGUUUAAAGGGCGCGUAGGCGGGCUGUCAAGUCGGUGGUGAAAUCGUUCCGCUCAACGGGACAAUGGCCUUCGAUACUGGCGGCCUGGAGGGAGGUAGGGGCAUGCGGAACUUCCGGUGGAGCGGUGGAAUGCGUAGAGAUCGGGAGGAACACCUGUGGCGAAGGCGGUGGCCUGGACCGGUGCUGACGCUGAGGCGCGAAGGCGUGGGGAGCGAUCCGG